rnacentral:tRNA from 2 species
AUCCGAGUGCUGAAAUUGGUAGACAGGACGAGCUUAAGCUUCGUUGACGCUAGUCGUAGAGGUUCAACUCCUCUUUCGGAUA